GACAGAAACAACAGGAUUUCCUACAAGGAGUGUGGAUGACGCCAUCUCUCUAUGUAGCCAGAGCUCUUCAAGUGCAGUCUGUCAGGACAAGAAGAGGAUUCUUUGUUCAUUUCAUGAAGUUACUGAUUACUUCCUUUCCUGGCUUUGUGUUAGGUGGCAUUGUAACCAUUACCAUGCAGUAUUUGAGGCCAUGCCCUCAGGAGCUUAUAGUAAGGAUCCAAUGGAGCAAGAUUAUAGGUUACCCCACCUGAACAUCAUCCUGGGAGGAAGCAGGGCAUGAAUCCGAAGGAAUUAGCGAAGUCCUUCCAUAGCCAUCCUUGAUGGCGGAGCGGGGGUGUGUCUCAGCAAAAAGGGCUGAAGUAUAAGGUGCUGGGACCAGUUGUCAGUAAAGGCAGUAUGAUUCAAUGAAUCAAUUAAAUCAGGAUGGAGAAGGGAAGCAAAAAGUCCAAGCCAGAUAAGUGGAACUACCCAUGAAACUGGAGGGUGUGGUGAACAAAAGCAAAAUGAUUAGUCACAAGGUCAGGAGCAAGUGGCCCCGGGAUGAAGAAAGGUAGUUAGAUGGAGGAUGGUUCUCCUCAUUCCACAGAUGAUGAACUUGAAACCAGUGACAGUGAGUGAGUUUAAGGUCACAUAACUAUGUAGGGUCAGGGCUUGACUGUAAAUCUCAUUCUAGCUGUAACUCUUUCCA